GGAGUCUCAGCCACUGGACCAUCAGGGAAGUCCCUGCUGAAAUGUUUAAACCAUGUAUUCUAGCAGGUCCUGUGCACCACAAGACACAGAAAUCGGACCUCUGCCAAUUGGAGAUCAGAUCUCUGCUCCUUCAGAGUGCUUGAGAAAGGGAGGGUGAGAGAUGAAGUUCAGCUCCGCUUGCCAACAGACUGCUGACGUCAGCAGAGCGACUUAAACCAUCUCUAAACAAGGGGCUGUUUCCACAAGUUCCUCUUGAGGAAGUUCUCCGCACAGGUCUGGCUUUGGCCAGGACUUUAGAAUCAGCACUUGGAGGGACGGUGAAGAUACCCAGGGGACCUGGUAUCUCACGAGGAGCACAUUGUAAGGGACACUCAAAUAAGGAAAAUUAAAUUGCUCAUGCUGAAAAGGAAUGAGGACUUCUUUCUCACCUUUCCUCAAAAACUCUGGAGUAUGGUCAGUUCUUUGUCCGACCCUGCUAAAUCACUUCAUUCGUGUCUGACUCUGUGUAACCCCACAGAUGGCAGCCCACCAGGCUCCCCUGUCCCUGGGAUUCUCCAGCCAAUAGGCUGCCAUUUCUGACUCUGCAAUGUAUGCAAAUCUUCUCUGUAAGUUAAACAAGCCUCUUGGGAUUUGACAAACCAGGAGUGUUCCUUCAGGGACCUGGCAGCAAAAGCAGUGACCAAGAGCCCAUAAAGCUACAGGAAAAGGGCAGAAAAUAUCACCGGAAAAAAAAAAUAGUGUAAACAACAGCAGUCCCUUCUCAGAACUCCCUUAGAUUAUAUGCUGUGCAACAUUACAGCUGGACAAAGAGCUCCCCCUCCAUAACAGCCAUUUGUCACAGGUCUAGGCAACACAGAGCAAGGAAGAGACAGCAAAGACUUCACUUGCAGACAAAAUCACAAUUCACUUGAGAAAAUGGAAAACAAUCCUGUUCCCACAAUAAAUGCCCUAGUUUAUACAAAAGCCGUUAUCUUCUUAUAGUAUAUCCAUCAGGGCCCGUUGUUAUCUUCUGUCCCUCAGCUAUGCUAACCCAAAUGAAAGGCAUGGGAAUGGAGAAAGGAGACAGGAGAAAGAGCCCUGAACCCACAAUGCCCACCACAGUCAUCACACCAAAGACCCUUGUCCUCCCCACUGUCAGUCUUUCCUUAUACUCUCAGAGCCUCCUCCUCGUAGCCCUGCUGGGCCCAAAUUUCCCAAAUCAAGAGAAAGCAAAAGCCUGGCAUGGGGAAACCAUCAGGCCUUUUCCUUCUCUCUGUUGA